rnacentral:rRNA from 1 species
UACGGGGGGGGCAAGCGUUGUCCGGAUUUAUUGGGCGUAAAGAGCGUGUAGGCGGCCUGACAGGUCUGCUGUGAAAACUCGAGGCUCAACCUCGAGAUGUCGGCGGAAACCGUCUGGCUAGAGUCCGGAAGAGGAGAGUGGAAUUCCUGGUGUAGCGGUGAAAUGCGCAGAUAUCAGGAAGAACACCUAUGGCGAAGGCAGCUCUCUGGGACGGUACUGACGCUA